rnacentral:lncRNA from 1 species
AUGUGCAACUCAUGUAAAACUACUGUCCAUCAAGAACUUCAGUGUUCACAAGAUUAUGACGUUAUUUCUAUUCAGGAUAUCAGACCGUCUUCACCAGGUUUACAGGCGGUAACGUCAGUAGUUAUUUCAUCUGUUUUCAAUUCAUACACAACUACUUUGCCCGUUGUUCAUACUUUACUUUGCUCGGAUGACGAUUCACUUCACUUCAUCUAUAACGGU